GAUGAAGAACGUAGCGAAAUGCGAUAAGUAGUGUGAAUUGCAGAAUUCAGUGAAUCAUCGAAUCUUUGAACGCACAUUGCGCCCUUUGGUAUUCCUUAGGGCAUGCCUGUUCGAGCGUCAUUUGAAACCUCAAGCUCAGCUUGGUGUUGGGUGUCUGUCCCCGCCUCACCGCGGGGACUCGCCUCAAAAUCAUUGGCGGCCGGUACGUUGGCUUCGAGCGCAGCAGAAACGCGAACUCGAGGCCCGGCGGAUCGGCGACCAGAAGUCACUUCUUCACAGUUUGACCUCGGAUCAGGUAGGGAUACCCGCUGAACUUAAGCAUAUCAAUAAGCGGAGA
rnacentral:misc_RNA from 1 species